CACCUGAAAGGCAUCACCCACCUUGCAAACUGUACUUCUCUCAUCCCCUUUUCUCUUCUAUCCUUCCUAAGUCUCUCUCUCUCUCUCUCUCUCUCUCUCUCUCUCUCUCUCUCUCAAUCUCUGCAUCAUCUUGUGUGAGCACAAAAUGGCUUCCAUCAGUACUGAUAAAAAGACCGACAAUCUGUCUCUCCAUGAUGUCAGGGAAAGGAAACGUUGAAGGAAACGUUGAAGGAAACGGGGCAGGCCAGUUGUAUGGCAGUCUUCCCACUCUGAGUCCUGCUGGUGUUGUUGCUCCCCUCCCCUUCGCUGCUCUCCUGCCCCCUUCCUCCCGUCACCAGAUGCAGCUUGCACAAAGCCACCAUCUUAGAUCAUGUGGGCAUUAAAUGGAAAAUAAGCAGUUUUCAAGUCAAGUUGAAAAUCGUGGAAUCCAUUAAAUGGAAGCUGAUUCACGUACCGACAGCUGAUGGAGUCACAUGGUUCUUUACUAUGCAUGUGCCCCAACAUCUGAUAUAAACAGCACUUUAAUUGUUCUUUAUAACUUCAAUCAUGGCAUUUGUGAAGCCUUCAUGUACUGUUACAGGGGCUGUAUGUUUCAUGAGUCUAGUGUGUGUGUGUGUAUGUAUGAUGUGUGUCUCCAUUUUUUAGCGUGUGUUUACUGUUGAGAAGAUGGGAGGGGAUAUUGCAGGAGACUUACUGUUGUACGGAUCUGGAUCAAAGUACUUAAAACAUUGUGCAUUUUAACAAAACACCUAGAAUUCUCAGCAUAAAACGCUUCUGUUUAGAUCAUUUUACUAUGGACAAUUUGUAGAAUUUUUUUUAAGGGUCAACCAUUUCAGUAGAAAGAAAGAAAAAUAAUUGAGGGAUAGAAUCUUAAAAACAAAUUAACCCAGGUCAACACUAAUCUGUCUUGUUAGACCUUUAUGAGUACAAUCUUUAGCAUAGUGCACUUUAUUAAGUCACAUCUAUUUUUUCUCCCAAUUUAUUUUUAGUUCAAUAGUUUUCAAUAUUAAAGGAAAAUGUAGAAACUUUCUGUGUACUGUACAUAAUGUAUUUCUUCAAUAACUGAUUACUAAUUUAUAUUUAACAUGAAAUACAGUAUUAGAAAUAACGUGUGAGGCUCUGUAGAUUCUGCAUGUAUGAAUGUGAAACCCACGGCAGCAGUGAACGGUUCUGCACUCUGAUUGGACAGCUCAGUGUGUUGUGCAUCACACACUUGUUGGAAAGAGAGCUGUUGUCUUUAAAUUCUAUGCAAUUGCGUUGAGCUUGCAAUCACCCGAAAGAGAAGGCAGAUCAGAGCAGUUGUUUAUGAUUCAAAGUACUUUACUGAAGACAUUUAUUGACAGCAAAUUAAAUCUUUUUUAAGGUGAGGAAGAGAAAAUAUUAAGCUGAAAUUUGUAUGCCCAGUAAAACUGGUUUCAACAAACUAACUUAAAUGUCCUUUUAGCUUUUUAAUUGUUUUAUAAUUUUGUUUUAGUUCAAUUUUCAUUUCAGAACUUCAUUUUAAAGGGGAUUAAAUGCUCUGUCUCUCUGUAUUUUGAGUUACAACCAGUUACAGCUGAAGACAAAAUGUCACUAUUGCUAUGCAAAUGUUUUACAGUUAUAUUUUAUUACAAUUUGAAGAGAAUUGUGCAAUGUAUUUUAUAAAUAGAUUUUUCCGUGCAUCAACAAUCAAGUGACUAUAAAGACAAUGAUUUGAUGACAUUUUUUCUAUGCUUUUUACUAUGCAAUUUUUUUUUUUUUUUUUUUUUUCAAUUGGUCAUAGUUCUGUAGUAAUAAUGGUAAUAUUUAAAAUCAUGUUUUCUUUUCAUUUUAAACUCUUUGAUUUUAUUAUUUUCCCUAUGGUAUGUUUUUUUUCAUGUUGCAGAUGAGUGCAAAUGUGUGAGUUUUUUGUUCAUAAUUUUACAAUUUU